rnacentral:rRNA from 1 species
AUGCAUAGCCCCGGCAGGCCAGCACAAGCUAUCUACCGCCCGGGUGGUGGUGUCAUUGCAGUUGCAGGCGGUGGUGGCACCGUGGCACCUAUGCGGCGGGCGGUGCUGGUGGUGGCAUCUGUGCCGCCGGCGGUGGGGGUGACAUCUGUGCGGGUGGUGGUGGCGCCUGUGUCGUUGUGGUUGGUGGUGGUGGUGACGCCUGUGCCUCCGGUGGUGGUGGUGACAUCUGUGCGGCCGGUGGAGGAGCCAGUGUUGGUGGAGGCGAUGGGAGUGGUGUCAGUGUGGGCGGCCGUGGCGCCUGCGCCGGCGGUGGUAGUGGUGGUUGUGCGGGCUUCAGCGACAACGGCCCAAUGA